AGCGAACGCUGGCGGCAUGCCUAACACAUGCAAGUCGAACGGCAGCACAGUGCUUCUUGCUCGAUGGGUCGCGAGUGGCGGACGUGUGACGAAUACAUCGGAAUCUGCUCAGUCGUGGGGGACAACGUAAGUCUAGUUACUCUACUACCUCAUGCGUCCUUCUGGGUUAAGCCGGUGACCUUCGGGCCUGGCGCGGUGUGAGGAGCCCAUGUUCGAUUAGUUAGUUGGCGGGGUAAAGGCCCACCAAGGCGGCGAUCGAUAGCUGGUCUGAGAGGAUGAUCAGCGACACUGGGACUGAGACACGGCCCAGACUCCUACGGGAGGUAGCAGUAGGGAAUAUUGGACAAUGGGCGAAAGCCUGAUCCAGCCAUGCCGCGUGAGUGAAGAAGGCCCUCGGGUUGUAAAGCUCUUUUGUGCGGGAAGAAAAGCAUCGGGCUAAUACCACGGUGGACUGACGGUACCGGAAGAAGAAGCACCGGCUAACUACGUG
rnacentral:rRNA from 1 species